rnacentral:misc_RNA from 1 species
GGGGACAGGUGAGUCAUCGAAUCUUUGAACGCACAUUGCGCCCGCCAGUAUUCUGGCGGGCAUGCCUGUUCGAGCGUCAUUUCAACCCUCAAGCCCCCGGGUUUGGUGUUGGGGAUCGGGCUGUACUCCAGCCCGGCCCCGAAAUCUAGUGGCGGUCUCGCUGCAGCCUCCAUUGCGUAGUAGCUAACACCUCGCAACUGGAACGCGGCGCGGCCAAGCCGUUAAACCCCCAACUUCUGAAUGUUGACCUCGGAUCAGGUAGGAAUACCCGCUGAACUUAAGCAUAUCAAUAAGCGGAGG